rnacentral:rRNA from 1 species
CAGCCGCCGCGGUAAUACGUAGGGGGCGAGCGUUGUCCGGAAUUACUGGGCGUAAAGGGUGCGUAGGCGGAUAUGCAAGUCCGAUGUGAAAUGCGCCGGCUUAACCGGUGAGCUGCAUUGGAAACUGUAUAUCUAGAGUGCAGGAGAGGGAAGCGGAAUUCCUAGUGUAGCGGUGGAAUGCGUAGAUAUUAGGAGGAACACCAGUGGCGAAGGCGGCUUCCUGGACUGUAACUGACGCUGAGGCACGAAAGCUGGGGUAGCGAACAGGAUUAGAUACCCUGGUAGUCCCAGCCGUAAACGAUGGGUACUAGGUGUUGUCACUUCAUUGUGGCAGUGCCGUAGUUAACGCAAUAAGUACCCCGCCUGGGGAGUACGGCCGCAAGGCUGAAACUCAAAGGAAUUGACGGGGGCCCGCACAAGCGGUGGAGCAUGUGGUUUAAUUCGAAGCAACGCGAAGAACCUUACCAGGGCUUGACAUCCCCCUGACAGCUUUAGAGAUAGGGCUUCUCUUCGGAGCAGGGGAGACAGGUGGUGCAUGGCC